UACGUAGGGUCCGAGCGUUGUCCGGAGUGACUGGGCGUAAAGCGCGCGCAGGCGGCCUGCGAGGUGUCCCGUGAAAGCCCCGUGCUCAACGCGGGAGGGUCAGGGCAAACCGGCAGCUUGAGGCCGGUAGAGGUGGGUGGAACUCCUGGUGGAGUGGUGAAAUGCGUAGAGAUCAGGAAGAACACCCGUGGCGAAGGCGGCCCACUGGGCCGGACCUGACGCUGAGGCGCGAAGGCGUGGGGAGCGAACGGG
rnacentral:rRNA from 1 species